GACGAACGCUGGCGGCGUGCUUAACACAUGCAAGUCGAACGAAGAGCGAUGGAAGCUUGCUUCUAUCAAUCUUAGUGGCGAACGGGUGAGUAACGCGUAAUCAACCUGCCCUUCAGAGGGGGACAACAGUUGGAAACGACUGCUAAUACCGCAUACGAUCUAAUCUCGGCAUCGAGGAUAGAUGAAAGGUGGCCUCUACAGGUAAGCUAUCACUGAAGGAGGGGAUUGCGUCUGAUUAGCUAGUUGGAGGGGUAACGGCCCACCAAGGCGAUGAUCAGUAGCCGGUCUGAGAGGAUGAACGGCCACAUUGGGACUGAGACACGGCCCAGACUCCUACGGGAGGCAGCAGUGGGGAAUCUUCCGCAAUGGACGAAAGUCUGACGGAGCAACGCCGCGUGAGUGAUGACGGCCUUCGGGUUGUAAAGCUCUGUUAAUCGGGACGAAAGGCCUUCUUGCGAAUAGUGAGAAGGAUUGACGGUACCGGAAUAGAAAGCCACGGCUAACUACGUG
rnacentral:rRNA from 1 species